rnacentral:rRNA from 1 species
AACGCUAGCGGCAGGCUUAACACAUGCAAGUCGAGGGGUAUUGGUUUUCGGACCAAGAGACCGGCGCACGGGUGCGUAACGCGUAUGCAAUCUACCUUUUGCAGAGGGAUAGCCCAGAGAAAUUUGGAUUAAUACCUCAUAGUAUAGUACUUUGGCAUCAAGGAACUAUUAAAGUCACAACGGCAAAAGAUGAGCAUGCGUCCCAUUAGCUAGUUGGUAAGGUAACGGCUUACCAAGGCUACGAUGGGUAGGGGUCCUGAGAGGGAGAUCCCCCACACUGGUACUGAGACACGGACCAGACUCCUACGGGAGGCAGCAGUGAGGAAUAUUGGACAAUGGGCGCAAGCCUGAUCCAGCCAUGCCGCGUGCAGGAUGACGGUCCUAUGGAUUGUAAACUGCUUUUAUACAGGAAGAAGCACUCCGACGUGUCGGAGCUUGACGGUACUGUAAGAAUAAGGAUCGGCUAGCUCCGUG